AUUGAACGCUGGCGGCAGGCCUAACACAUGCAAGUCGAGCGGAUGAACGGAGCUUUCUCCUGUCUUCCGCUUCGGACGGGUGAGUAAUUCCUAGGUAUCUGCCUGGUUUUUGGGGAUAACGUCCCUUCACGGGCCCUAAUACCGCAUCCGUCCUUAUGUUGAAACUUGGGGUUCUUCGGUCCUCACGCUUUUUGAUGUCCCUAUGUCGGAUUAGCUAGUUGGUUUGGUAAAGGCCUACCAAGGCGACGAUCCGUAACUGAUAUGAGAGGAUGAUCAGUAACACUGGAACUGAGACACGGUCCAGACUACUACGGGAGGCAGCAGUAGGGAAUAUUGGACAAUGGGCGAAAGCCUGAUGCAGCAAUGCCGCGUGAGUGAAGAAGGUCUUCGGAUUGUAAAGCACUGUAAGUAGGGAAGAAGAAAAGUAAGAGAAAAAAUGGAUGUAUUGACGGUACCAAAAGAAAAAGCAACGGCUAACUACGUG
rnacentral:rRNA from 1 species